rnacentral:misc_RNA from 1 species
GAUGAAGAACGCAGCGAAAUGCGAUACGUAGUGUGAAUUGCAGAAUUCAGUGAAUCAUCGAAUCUUUGAACGCACAUUGCGCCCUUUGGUAUUCCAAAGGGCAUGCCUGUUCGAGCGUCAUUUGUACCUUCAAGCUUUGCUUGGUGUUGGGUGUCUUGUCUCUCUCUUUUUACGGGGAGACUCGCCUUAAAACGAUUGGCAGCCGGCCUACUGGUUUCGGAGCGCAGCACAUCAUUUUGCGCUUUGUGCCGGGAGAAAAGGACGGCAAUCCAUCAAGUCUAUUCAAUAUUCAACUUUUGACCUCGGAUCAGGUAGGGAUACCCGCUGAACUUAAGCAUAUCAAUAAGCGGAGGA